rnacentral:tRNA from 1 species
AUCUUUCUAGUAUAACUGCCAGUACCUGUGACUUCCAAUCACCUAGUCCUGGUUAAAACCCAGGGAAAGAUA